rnacentral:lncRNA from 1 species
GUCACACAGGAUGCUCCCCUGAAGCUCGGCAAGGCUGUGCACAAGACUGUACUGACCUUUGAAGAUGAUGUGACAGUACCUACAAGGAACACCAGUUGGAGUAAGAGGGACUCGCCUCAAAACUUUUCAAUCCAUUUCAACAGGCCCUUCUUAUUUGUCAUUAAAGAUGAAUACACCAAUUGCCCCCUCUUCGUGGGAAAAGUGGUAAAUCCCGUAACAAAUGAUUGAUUUCAAAAUCCAGUCACCCUCACCACCCUGUUCCAGCUGUGUCCUCUUCUUGCUGACAUUAAACGUGGGAUAGUUUCACUCAUGCCUGAGUGCAACCAGCAA